rnacentral:rRNA from 1 species
CCUACGGGUGGCAGCAGUGGGGAAUAUUGCACAAUGGGGGAAACCCUGAUGCAGCGACGCCGCGUGAGUGAAGAAGUAUUUCGGUACGUAAAGCUCUAUCAGCAGGGAAGAAAAUGACGGUACCUGACUAAGAAGCCCCGGCUAACUACGUGCCAGCAGCCGCGGUAAUACGUAGGGGGCACGCGUUAUCCGGAUUUACUGGGUGUAAGGGGAGCUUAGACGGCAGCGCAAGUCUGGAGUGAAAUCCCAUGGCUUAACCAUGGAACUGCUUUGGAAACUGUGCAGCUAGAGUGCAGGAGAGGUAAGCGGAAUUCCUAGUGUAGCGGUGAAAUGCGUAGAUAUUAGGAGGAACACCAGUGGCGAAGGCGGCUUACUGGACUGUAACUGACGUUGAGGCUCGAAAGCGUGGGGAGCAAACAGGAUUAGAUACCCGGGUAGUC